rnacentral:rRNA from 1 species
GUACCUGGAAUCCUCUUAGUAUAAAUAAAUUAACUUUCUUACUGCGGAUGAUUGCAUUCAUUCAACCUAUUGAUUUAUUUUAAGAAAAAUACUAAUUGUAUAACCGCCGAAUUAAAGAGCUUGCUCAUGUGGUAGUCUGCCUUGCUGACUUUAUUUAUUAGAAAACAAUCCGUUUCUUUCGAUCUAUGAGUGAGAAUAACUAAUCAUUUCUUACGCUUGUUUAAGGAUGUGUGUGUCUUGUUGGUGCCCGCCCAGCCAGCUAUGGUUGGGUAUUGGACUACCAUACCUUGGACGUAACGGGUAACGAAGAA